UAUUACUCAUAGCGGGGUUUCAUGUUUUAAAUUACUUUUUGCCACAUGUCUGACUUGCAGGGUGCUGCAGUAGAAAGUAGAAAAGCUCCCAUACUCCUUCCAGACCGAAGCUCCACUGAACCUGAGGGCAUAUGACUCGAUUAUCUGCUCACUACUAUUUGCUAAUGGUACCUCUGCUGAAGAUGGACUGUCUAUGCAAGGAACAGGAUUCUCUGGAUAAGGCCUGAAAACACAUAGCAUAUUCUCAAGUAACAUACAAGUUUUGUUGUAUACCUGCAUUUUGAUCGGCACUGGCACGUCAGUGAUACGCUGUUGAGAAAAAAAUAUGCUCUACCAAGGAGAUGUGACAUUCUACGUGGCAGUGGCAGUGACAGGACAGCACCUGACAGCUCUGAGUGGUGGCAACGAUCUCCUGCAACUUCUCAAUGUCAGUGACACAAUUUGUAUGCUCAGCAGUUCUUGGCGGAGAUUUCUGCAGGGAGGAGGACCUUCAGCAGGAGAGGGGAGCUGGAAGUACUGAGCCCAGAACCAUGGAAAGUGUUGCUUUUAAUCUCUAACUGUAACCAUGUUUGUAGCAAAGUGUUAACUCCCCUGCACAUGAACGCACUUCAUCUGCACAAAGAUAUUGCGCGGUGUAUUAAAAUGUAUGUCAUGCUGGAGAACAAAGAGCACGUGACAUUAUGGACUGAAUUCAUAGUUACAAUAAAAGGAGCAAUGAAAAUUCA
rnacentral:lncRNA from 1 species